AAAAGACAUAGACGACAUCCAGAAACUUCACGAGAAAGUAUUGACUGUCUUGAAACUUGAAGUCGGCAAGAAUCACAAGGAGGAGGAGACAACUCUUGUGAAACUCCUUGGUCAUGUAGAGGAGCUGCGCAACCUAGGAGGAUGGCACAUCGAUGUGCUCAACAUGUUCAAACGAUCUGCUCCGGACAUAGAGUUCCCUGCCCUUCACAAAGAACUUUUCUCAGUAGAAGGCAUCGAAGGAUCAUGAACAGAACACAGCAAAUGAGAAAGGUGAGAGAGAGAUAGAGAGAGAGAGUGAU